rnacentral:miRNA from 1 species
AGCCAUCUCGCCAGCCCUAAAAUAACUUCUAUAAAAUAAAUGUUCCCAGGCUGGCGAGAUGGCUCAGCAGU